rnacentral:lncRNA from 1 species
GGCCCUGUCAGUGCCAAACCUUCUGGCGGCCUGCACUACGCUGAGUCACGUAGAAAAUAUAUAACAUUGUCAAUGCACUGCAUAGCAGCCACAGUGGGGAAGAUUUCGUGUGUCCCUGUCCUGGGCCUCUUGGUCUAUUUUAGCAGAAAGAAGGCAGGACUGGUAAAAUCUGGAUUAUGUAUCUAAUUUGACCACAUACUUACUUGUGAACUGAGGUAAGAUCCUAAACUUUUUCAAGUCUUUCUUGCUUUAUUAACAGAAUAGCAAUAAUAAUUUAAAUUGUUUGUAGCUCAGAUGAAGUUACGGUAUGAAUGGGGGGAAAAAGUCUUAUGAAAGCUCUGCCUCUCUGUCCCGCCGUUGUCAUGAACCACAUCACCCUCUAGCCUCUCUUUAGAUACGUCUAAUUAGUAAUUCCUUUACUUUCACAAAUUACGAAGAGUGGAAGAUAUCAGAU